GGGGUUGUGGCUCAGAGGUAGAGUGCUCGCCUAGCAUGUGUGAGGCACUGGGUUCUAUCCUCAGCACCACA
rnacentral:tRNA from 1 species